rnacentral:sRNA from 1 species
GAAAGCGUUGCCGCAGGCAACGACCCGAAGGGCGAAGCGCGCAGCGCUGAGUCAUCCUUCCCCCCUCAUCC